rnacentral:rRNA from 1 species
CGGACGGGUGAGGAAUACAUCGGAAUUUGCCCAGUCGUGGGGGAUAACGUAGGGAAACUUACGCUAAUACCGCAUACGACCUAACGGUGAAAGCGGGGGAUCUGUAAGGACCUCGCGCGAGUGGAUGAGCCGAUGUCGGAUUAGCUAGUUGGGGGGGUAAAGGCCCACCAAGGCGACGAUCCGUAGCUGGUCUGAGAGGAUGAUCAGCCACACUGGGACUGAGACACGGCCCAG